GUGAGGGCAGCCACGGAGGAGGACACUCGCAGGGCAAGGCAGAAAGGAAGUUGCGCCCACUCGCCCCAGCCUAGGGACAGUCAGAGCAGGAGACUGGAAGGGAAUAGACACCUGCUGCCUCCAUGGCUCCCAGCAGACGCCCCCUCAGGUGGCAGAUGGGCAGCCCAAUAAGCUGGGGGCCCAGAGAUGCCGGAAGGGGCCGGAUGUGGCAGCCUCCCAGCCCCGAGAGGCUCAGCCUUGCCGGAGGUCACUCACUCUGGGUGAGCAAGCACACGGUCUUCUGGAAGAUGGGAGGGUUUCAUCAAGCCCAGCUGAUACUUCGGACGUGAAGAAAGAGGAGAGAAGAAAGAAGACGGCGUGGGCCGUACCUGCGGGAUGAGCCUCCUUCCCCAGAGCUGCCCACAGCCCCACCCCACCUGCCGCAGAGGACCCGGAACACAGGCAAGAGGAGGGGCAGGCUUUCCCCACUGCGAGCUCCAUGGGCCGCUUCCUCCGAAACCCCCAGCUAAUGUCCCCUCACAUGAGGCAAGGCCCAUGACUUCUGUCUUUCAUUCUGUGGUCAGCACAAACCUGCCCCCUAUAGCCACUCCUGACUUCCACCCAGGAAGUCCUCCUUCCUCUGUGUUUGCAAGACACUGUGCAAGAGAAGACAAGUAGUGACUGCAGCAUCUUACUACACUGAUGGGCAGUGACUGCAAUGGGGUACAGGGGGGACUUGAUAAUAUGGGAGAAUGUAGUAACCACAACGUUUUUCAAGUGAAACCUUCAUAAAAGUGUGUAUCAAUGAUACCUUAAUACAAAAAAAAAAAGACUGCAUCUAACCAUUUUUCUUCAUUCUUUGUUUACAAGUCUAUCUCCCCUGCUAGACUGUGAACUUUAAAGGGCCAUGUCAAA